CUAAAUAAAAUAUACAUUUUUGUGAAAAAAAAAAAAUUUCCAUUGACUCUUGAAAAAAAUGUCCCUGUUAUGUUGACUUCGUAAGUGUAGUAGUAGCUGUAUAAGGAAUAUUGUUGAUAUUGGUGACCCGAAUUGUUUGGGUUGAGUCCAAGAGGCUUGUGGUGCAACUUGAAUACUUUUCUGCAACAUGGUUGGGGCUUUGCCCCUGCGGAAUGUACCUGUCUAAAUAGAGGGAUUCUGUCUAGGUUUUUAGUGUAUGCGCCUUUUGAUGAUUUUGUACUCUAUUUUUCGACUCAUACUGAAAUUCUC
rnacentral:lncRNA from 1 species